rnacentral:lncRNA from 1 species
GCCGCCGCGCAGGCGCGCCCGGCCGGGGGAGGGGGCCGGGCCGGGGCAGGCCGGGAAGGAGGGAGCGGAGCGGGGCCUGGCGCGGCGGCGGCGGCGGCGGCGGAGCGGAGGGACGGGCAGCGGCGCCCGCCGUGCUUCGGAGCAGGAGGCGCGGCCGCUCCGCUGUCCUGGCGCCGGGCCGCGCCGGGAGGCAGCCUCUUUCUGUGGGAAAUGCUGAGGAUGCUGCGUAAUCUACUAUUUAAAGGGCUUAAUGAAGCAGCUUGGCCACCUCUUGCAGUAUAGGAGGAUGUGUGUUUGCUGUUCCUGUUGCCUUUCCAAAGGGGAUCAGUUCCAUU